CAAAGACUGAGAUGAACAUUCAUUCACGUGCGAGUAGUUUAUUUGAGAGAGGGUCCUAGGAGAUACAGGACGUGGUGACUGUGUGACAAGGAAGGGGAGGAAGGUGACAGAGCAUCCAUUACUGAGGGAAUUAAUUGUCCAACACAUCUGACUUCCCUGGGUGCACAUCCCAAGGCCAGAAAAAAACUUCAAGUGGAUAUUUUCAGGAGUCAGUGAGAAGGAAAAGUGAGCCUACAAGAGAUUCAGCAACCUGCUGAAAGCGGAACUGGUGUUCAAACAGAGGUUCCCAUGUGUCUAAAGCUAAGUACCAAAUGACUCCCAUGUGGGGUUGAACAAGCUGCUAGAAAGGUAGAGAACCUGAUGAGGAGACAGGGCUGAAAAUGGUGCCUUCAGAGUGAAAUCUACAUUCAGCCCUGGGAAGGGAUUGGAACAUGGCAUUAUUCCUUAAACUUCCUUGAUGAUGAGACUCACCUGGGCAAUUGUUGGAAAUACCUGGUCCUUCUCAGGUCUGCUGAAUCCCUGUCUCCUCACAGAGGAACCUAGAGGAGUCUGAUGAUCAAAGAA